rnacentral:rRNA from 1 species
UACGGAGGGUGCAAGCGUUAUCCGGAUUCACUGGGCGUAAAGAGCGUGUAGGCGGCCCCUUAAGUCCUGCGUGAAAUCCUGCGGCUCAACCGCAGACGGUCGUGGGAAACUGGAGGGCUAGAGUGCGGGAGAGGAGAGUGGAAUUCCCGGUGUAGCGGUGAAAUGCGCAGAUAUCGGGAGGAACACCAAUGGCGAAAGCAGCUUUCUGGGACGGUACUGACGCUGAGACGCGAAAGCGUGGGGAGCGAACAGG